GCUGGGCUAUAUGACAUUCUCAUCUGAAGGCAGGCACCGUCAUACUCCCUUGGAAAAUCCGACGCCAGAGUAUUAGCAUGUUGGAUAUCAGCUUCGAGCACUUUGAGAGAGUCUUUGAAGGACUUUCUCAUAGAAGCCAUGUGCAUCUCCUCCAACAACACUCAAAACCAAAACGAUCAGAUUCUGCCGUCUCUCUUUCUCUCUAC
rnacentral:misc_RNA from 1 species